UUACACACUGACUCACAUACCAGUCCCGACCAGUCCAUACCGGACAGCCACAGCCAUUGGAGACACAUUGGCUUUUGCUGAGUGAUAAGUCUCCGCCUGUGUAUGAUAUUCCACAUAAACAUAAGCUUGCUGGAUGCUAAUUUGUGUCAUUUUUGCAGCAAUGCGGCUGACAAAGAAGCGUCUGUUUGGUCUUUCCCCAGAAAAAAUGCGGCACUGGCAUAAACAAAAUCAAAAACCGAAGCCGAACCGAAACCGAAACUGAAAACGAACCCAAGGCAUGUGUGCACAGCGAAUAUCUAGCGGAUGCGUAGCCUCAGGGCUGUCCCUCAGCAAAGUCCGCGCACUUAUUUAUUUAUUUUAUGAUUCACUUACGAGGCUUGCUCCCCAGUGCAGCCCCACUGAAAUCAGCAGCGCACAGAGAGGGAGCAGUGAGCAGGGUGGAGCCUCAUACAAUAACUUCUGUUCUAUGCCAGUUGUGCGACUGAAAAUAGAAUUUCUAGUUUUAUAUUCAUCAAAGAGAGCGGUGUGAAAAAGUAUACUCGAAAGAGUAGCUGGGGAAUUAAUUUGCAUUCAAGUGAGAAGCUGAAAGAUAAAACCUUUUGGAGAUGCAAAUGGAUUAGAACCGAACUAAAAGGAAAGAAUUUAUUUAAAAAAUAUAAUUCAAUGAAGGAAAAAAUAUAAAUUAAAUGCCAAAGAAUGUACUUGAAAAAACCCAUAAAAAACCAUCGAAGUACCUACGCCAACACCACGGCAAACCAAUUGAAAUGAAAGGCAAAUCAUGUUUGUACAAAAUUACCAUAAAUUAGAAAUAUUAUUUUAUAAUUUUCCUAAACAAAAACCCGUUCAGAAAAACCGCUAAUGUCACUCCUUUUUGGCCCAGCAAACAUUACCCAAAAUGUCAACUUGCUUCCGUGGUGUGAAGCCAUAAAAACGAAUAAAUUUCGAAGCAAAUUCGAAUGGC
rnacentral:lncRNA from 1 species